rnacentral:rRNA from 1 species
UACAGAGGUCUCAAGCGUUGUUCGGAUUCAUUGGGCGUAAAGGGUGCGUAGGUGGUGAUGCAAGUCUGGUGUGAAAUCUCGGAGCUCAACUCCGAAAUUGCACCGGAUACUGCGUGACUCGAGGACUGUAGAGGAGAUCGGAAUUCACGGUGUAGCAGUGAAAUGCGUAGAUAUCGUGAGGAAGACCAGCUGCGAAGGCGGAUCUCUGGGCAGUUCCUGACACUGAGGCACGAAGGCCAGGGGAGCAAACGGG